GUAGGUGGCAAGCGUUGUCCGGAAUUAUUGGGCGUAAAGCGCGCGCAGGUGGUUCUUUAAGUCUGAUGUGAAAGCCCCCGGGCUCAACCGGGGAGAGUCAUUGGAAACUGGGGAACUUGAGUGCAGGAGAGGAAAGUGGAAUUCCACGUGUAGCGGUGAAAUGCGUAGAUAUGUGGAGGAACACCAGUGGCGAAGGCGACUUUCUGGCCUGUAACUGACACUGAGGCGCGAAAGCGUGGGGAGCAAACAGGAUUAGAUACCCUGGUAGUCCACGCCGUAAACGAUGAGUGCUAAGUGUUGGGGGGUUUCCGCCCCUCAGUGCUGCAGCUAACGCAUUAAGCACUCCGCCUGGGGAGUACGGCCGCAAGACUG
rnacentral:rRNA from 1 species